AUGACUUCCCUUCACGUAUUUGUACAUGGCUAUCAUGUCUCCUCUCAACCUUCUCUUCUGCAGGCUAAACAUGCCAAGCUCUUUAAGCCGCUCCUCAUAGGGCUUGUUCUCCAGACCCUUAAUCAUUUUAGUCGCCCUCCUCUGGACGCUUUCCAGCUUGUCAGACCACACCUGGAAUACUGUGUCCAAUUUUGGGCACCACAGUUGAAGGGAGAUGUUGACAAACUGGAAAGCGUCCAGAGGAGGGCGACUAAAAUGAUUAAGGGUCUGGAGAACAAGCCCUAUGAGGAGCGGCUUAAAGAGCUGGGCAUGUUUAGCCUGCAGAAGAGAAGGCUGAGAGGAGACAUGAUAGCCAUGUACAAAUACGUGAAGGGAAGUCAUAGGGAAGAGGGAGCAAGCUUGUUUUCUGCUGCCCUGCAGACUAGGACACGGAACAAUGGCUUCAAACUACAGGAAAGGAGAUUCCACUUGAACAUCAGGAAGAACUUCCUCACUGUGAGAGCUGUUCGACAGUGGAACUCUCUCCCCGGGGCCGUGGUGGAGGCUCCUUCCUUGGAGGCUUUUAAGCAGAGGCUGGAUGGCCAUCUGUCGGGGGUGCUUUGAAUGCGAUUUCCUGCUUCUUAGCAGGGGGUUGGACUAGAUGGCCCAUGUGGUCUCUUCCAACUCUACUAUUCUAUGAUUCUAUGAUUCUAUAACAUGAAGGAAGCCAUGUUAUCACAUGACAAUGCACCUGAAUGGAUGUUAUGCUAUGAUAGAAUCCUUUUUUGGGUAUUAAAAUAACUUUGGAUUAGGAAUGAAGUUUUCUGCCUUCGUAGAAGGAACACUUUACAUAUACAUUUUGAUUAUUGAUUAAAAUGUUAUAUCUAGGAAUGUCUAGGUCAUCCAGUACAACAUCAUAUUUGAGAACCUAGAGAUUUCUAUAUAGAAUUCCAGUAUGAUGUUAUAGUUAACUCCAUAGUUCUUCAAGUUUCAUAUGGGUGUGGGGAGUUCCUGCAUUCCUAACCCCUGUGAAUGUGGAGGGCUGACUGUAUCUAGAUGAAGUUAAUAAAAACCACUCAGAACAAAUCUUGAUAUUGCCACUGUACUUUUGAAACCUGAGAAUGACAAUAGAAACACUUGAAAAUCUACUGAAUUAAAAACCAUUAAAAUUUUUUUUAGUUGCAGCCUAUGUUAUGGUAUGAUAGCAGUUUUAAAAUUACUGCUGUUUGCUUUCAAAUUUCCCUCUUUGUCCUGCCCUUAAAAUAGGUCCUGGUUUGGGAUCGCAUUUCAGAACAUAUUUUCUUGUAUCCAGGAUAAAACUGAUUGUCAAUGCCAUUGAAUACAGCAGUACUGACACAUAAAUUCACUAUCCACCAGUAUCUCUCCCUCUCCCUCAGCUCCAUCAGAGGCCAGUACCUGUCAGAGGCCAAGCUAGAGGCCUCAAUGUGGUGCCUGGCAGAGGAGGAGGCUCCACGGGGCUUGCCACAACUCUUCUCCAUUGGCCUCUCCACCGAAGACCUCUAGCUGUGGGUGCUCUACCUCAGCGUCAACUUUAUCCUGUGCCACACCCUCCUGUUGCACCUGGCCCAGAAUCUUGUAGACCCUGAGGUGCGUGCC
ensembl:lncRNA